rnacentral:rRNA from 1 species
CUCAACCGUAGAAGUGCCUUCGAAACUGCUGCUCUUGAGUCCCAGAGAGGUCGCUGGAAUUCGUGGUGUAGCGGUGAAAUGCGUAGAUAUCACGAGGAACACCAGAGGCGUAAGCGAGCGACUGGAUGGGUACUGACGCUGAGGCACGAAAGCGUGGGGAGCAAACAGGAUUAGAUACCCUGGUAGUCCACGCCGUAAACGAUGGAUGCUAGACGUUGUCCCGUUUAUAGGGGCAGUGUCCAAGCUAACGCGUUAAGCAUCCCGCCUGGGGAGUACGAUCGCAAGGUUGAAACUCAAAGGAAUUGACGGGGGCCCGCACAAGCGGUGGAGCAUGUGGCCUAAUUCGAUGCAACGCGAAGAACCUUACCCAGGCUCGAACGCUACCGGACCGCUCCUGAAAGGGAGCUUCCCGUAAGGGCUG